rnacentral:rRNA from 1 species
UACGUAGGUGACCAGCGUUGUCCGGAUUUACUGGGCGUAAAGAGCGCGCAGGCGGUCGUUCAAGUCGAGUGUGAAAGCCCCCCGGCUCAACUGGGGAGGGUCACUCGAUACUGAUCGACUUGAAGGCAGGAGAGGGAAGCGGAAUUCCCGGUGUAGUGGUGAAAUGCGUAGAUAUCGGGAGGAACACCAGUGGCGAAGGCGGCUUCCUGGCCUGUUCUUGACGCUGAGGCGCGAAAGCUAGGGGAGCCAAACGGGG